UCGGCGUCAGAGCAGUGUAUUGAUAGGAUCAGACAUAUAGUGUAGCAUCAUCAAAUAGUAACUGUAACCGAUUCUCUGAAUUAGGUGGUGAAUCUCUUGCUCGGUCGGUGAUUUUCUGACUGAGCGUUAACGCUGCCUUUGCAGGCUGGCUUAGAUUUGCAGAUAGGAGAUCGAGGUCCUCAUCUCCUUGCCUUCGGAAUCAACC